rfam:Triticum aestivum genome assembly, contig: Triticum_aestivum_CS42_TGACv1_scaffold_501991_6BL
GUAGUAUUCCCUCCAUCCCAAAUUUUUUGUCUUACAUUUGUUUAGAUACAGAUGUAUCUAAAACUCAAAUGUAACUAGAUACAUCCGUAUUUAGACAAACUUAAGACAAGAAUUUUGGGAUGGGGGGAGUACAAA